rnacentral:rRNA from 1 species
AGUUUGAUCCUGGCUCAGAUUGAACGCUGGCGGCAUGCCUUACACAUGCAAGUCGAACGGCAGCACGGGGGCAACCCUGGUGGCGAGUGGCGAACGGGUGAGUAAUAUAUCGGAACGUACCCUAGAGUGGGGGAUAACGUAGCGAAAGUUACGCUAAUACCGCAUACGAUCUACGGAUGAAAGCAGGGGACCGCAAGGCCUUGCGCUCAUGGAGCGGCCGAUAUCUGAUUAGCUAGUUGGUAGGGUAAAAGCCUACCAAGGCAUCGAUCAGUAGCUGGUCUGAGAGGACGACCAGCCACACUGGGACUGAGACACGGCCCAGACUCCUACGGGAGGCAGCAGUGGGGAAUUUUGGACAAUGGGGGCAACCCUGAUCCAGCAAUGCCGCGUGAGUGAAGAAGGCCUUCGGGUUGUAAAGCUCUUUUGUCAGGGAAGAAACGGUUAUUUCUAAUAAAGAUGACUAAUGACGGUACCUGAAGAAUAAGCACCGGCUAACUACGUGCCAGCAGCCGCGGUAAUACGUAGGGUGCAAGCGUUAAUCGGAAUUACUGGGCGUAAAGCGUGCGCAGGCGGUUAUGUAAGACAGAUGUGAAAUGCCCGGGCUCAACCUGGGAACUGCAUUUGUGACUGCAUGGCUAGAGUUUGGCAGAGGGGGGUAGAAUUCCACGUGUAGCAGUGAAAUGCGUAGAUAUGUGGAGGAAUACCGAUGGCGAAGGCAGCUCCCUGGGUCAAGACUGACGCUCAUGCACGAAAGCGUGGGGAGCAAACAGGAUUAGAUACCCUGGUAGUCCACGCCCUAAACGAUGUCUACUAGUUGUCGGGUCUUAAUUGACUUGGUAACGCAGCUAACGCGUGAAGUAGACCGCCUGGGGAGUACGGUCGCAAGAUUAAAACUCAAAGGAAUUGACGGGGACCCGCACAAGCGGUGGAUGAUGUGGAUUAAUUCGAUGCAACGCGAAAAACCUUACCUACCCUUGACAUGUACGGAAGCUUUGAGAGAUCAGAGUGUGCUCGAAAGAGAGCCGUAACACAGGUGCUGCAUGGCUGUCGUCAGCUCGUG